rnacentral:rRNA from 1 species
AUUGAACGCUGGCGGCAGGCCUAACACAUGCAAGUCGAACGAGUGGCGGACGGGUGAGUAAUGUCUGGGAAACUGCCCGAUGGAGGGGGAUAACUACUGGAAACGGUAGCUAAUACCGCAUACCAUGGGAUGUGCCCAGCUGGGAUUAGCUAGGAGGUGGGGUAACGGCUCACCUAGGCGACGAUCCCUAGCUGGGCUGAGAGGAUGACCAGCCACACUGGAACUGAGGGACGGUGCAGACUCCUACGGUAGGCCGCAGUGGGGAAUAUGGGGCAAUGGGCGCAAGCCUGAUGCAGCCAUGCCGCGUGUUUGAAGAAGGCCUUCGGGUUGUAAAGUACUUUCAGCGUGGAGGCGUUACUCGCAGAAGAAGCACCGGCUAACUCCGUGCCAGCAGCCGCGGUAAUUC